rnacentral:lncRNA from 1 species
GAAUUGUAUUUGCACAAAAUACAUACUAGCACUUCCUUCCUGCCGGGAGUGGCAGUGGGGUCUUGUGACUAGCACUUCCUUCCUGCUGUGUGGGAGUUGCUUCCGGGUGUAGGAGGAGAGAGGAGCUUGUUCAUCCCAGUCUGGAGUGGCAUGCUCUUCUUGGUUCAGAUGGAAGAUUCAGGCCCAGUCACUUCUGAAGAGAGCAUCAUAUUAUCACAUGAUCAGUCAAUUAUUUAUCAAGCUCAGGAAGAAGGAAGCUGUGGUUUAUUGUUUAGCCAUCAGCUAGAUCUCCAGCUAUUGAUCAUUAGGUUGAACAAGAUCAAUAGUCCAAAGAAGUGAAGGAGACUACAGGUGCACUGCUACAGAAAGAAACAUGGCUAUGUAAGAGAGAAGUUACAAAAGGAGAGAAAAAAUCAAUUCCAGCAAUGCAAAGGAACAGCCCAAGUGGAGAAAGAAGAAGGAAGACUCAAGAUUCCAGGAAGGAAUAGAGGAUCUGAGAAAAUUCCAAACUGCCAGCUUACUUCUGGCCCUUCUUCCAUCCCCCAUACCACAGAAGGCAUCACCCAGCAAACUAAACAGAUUUUGUCUUUCAUGUUUCCAGUUCUCAGUUCAUUCUCUGUAAAUGAACAUUCACAAAUGAUUCUUCAAACAUUAAAUUGGUAUCUGCAUAUACUGUUUUCUUAGUUCCAUUCAUUUCAGUUUCAUAAUAUUAUUCUAAGGAAAUAGUAAAGACUGGGCAUUUGCUGUUAUCUAGAGCCACUUUUCAAAGAUUCCAGGACUAAGCUAGCCUUCUUUGUGCUGAGAAUAUUCAUAUAGGUAGUCUAAUC